GCCAGAAUGGCAUAGUGUUUAGAGUAUUGGACUAUGACUCUGGAGACCAGGGUUUGAUUCCCCACUUAGCCA